AGAGUUUGAUCCUGGCUCAGAAUCAACGCUGGCGGCGUGCCUCAGACAUGCAAGUCGAACGAUUAAAGCUCUCUUCGGAGAGUGUAUAGAGUGGCGCACGGGUGAGUAACACGUAAGUAAUCUACCCUCGAGUGGGGAAUAACAACCGGAAACGGUUGCUAAUACCGCAUAAUGCAGCGGCACCGCAAGGUGACAGUUGUUAAAGAUUUAUCGCUUGAGGAGGAGCUUGCGGCAGAUUAGCUAGUUGGUAGGGUAACGGCUUACCAAGGCUACGAUCUGUAACCGGUCUAAGAGGACGGUCGGUCACACUGACACUGAAUAACGGGUCAGACUCCUACGGGAGGCAGCAGUCGGGAAUUUUGGGCAAUGGGCGAAAGCCUGACCCAGCAACGCCGCGUGAAGGAUGAAGUAUUUCGGUAUGUAAACUUCGAAAGAAUAGGAAGAAUUAAUGACGGUACUAUUUAUAAGGUCCGGCUAACUACGUG
rnacentral:rRNA from 1 species